UACGGAGGGUGCGAGCGUUAUCCGGAAUCAUUGGGUUUAAAGGGUCCGUAGGUGGUUUGCUAAGUCAGAGGUGAAAUCCUGCCGCUUAACGGUAGAACUGCCUUUGAUACUGGUUAUCUUGAGUUAUUAUGAAGUAGUUAGAAUAUGUAGUGUAGCGGUGAAAUGCAUAGAUAUUACAUAGAAUACCAAUUGCGAAGGCAGAUUACUAAUAAUCAACUGACACUGAUGGACGAAAGCGUGGGUAGCGAACAGG
rnacentral:rRNA from 1 species